rnacentral:rRNA from 1 species
CCUACGGGAGGCAGCAGUGGGGAAUUUUGGACAAUGGGCGCAAGCCUGAUCCAGCAAUGCCGCGUGAGUGAAGAAGGCCUUCGGGUUGUAAAGCUCUUUUGUCAGGGAAGAAACGGUGAGGGCUAAUAUCCUUUGCUAAUGACGGUACCUGAAGAAUAAGCACCGGCUAACUACGUGCCAGCAGCCGCGGUAAUACGUAGGGUGCAAGCGUUAAUCGGAAUUACUGGGCGUAAAGCGUGCGCAGGCGGUUUUGUAAGUCUGUCGUGAAAUCCCCGGGCUCAACCUGGGAAUUGCGAUGGAGACUGCAAGGCUAGAAUCUGGCAGAGGGGGGUAGAAUUCCACGUGUAGCAGUGAAAUGCGUAGAGAUGUGGAGGAACACCGAUGGCGAAGGCAGCCCCCUGGGUCAAGAUUGACGCUCAUGCACGAAAGCGUGGGGAGCAAACGGAGUAGUAGUACCUACCGUAGGUACCACCGACCCGUAACCGAAGUAGUCUACUAGUUAGUCGGUUUAAGUUUAACUUAGUUAGACGGCGUACGACGUGAGUAGACGCCUCGGGNGGAGGUACGUCGACGAAGUAACUAACUAAGAAGUAAGUAGACGAGAGAGAGCGACGACGACGACGACGGAGGAGGAGG